UCCUUGCCCACGUUAAUGUAGCCUCCAGGU
rnacentral:piRNA from 1 species